AUGUACAUGCCUACAACAUAGUGUCAAUGCAUCGAAUCCCAGUAGAACUCCACAGUUAAGCGGGCUCGGUCUAGAGUAGUACUAGGAUGGGUGACCACUUGGGAAGUACUAUUAUUUUACAUU
rnacentral:rRNA from 1 species